AAGUCGUAACAAGGUUUCCGUAGGUGAACCUGCGGAAGGAUCAUUAACAAAUGAACAAACACGCGUGUUUUUUGAUGAGACGUGAUGGAUGGAUGGAUGGGAUGGAUGGAUUUAUGUGAUUUGAUCGAUCGAUCGAUCGAUGCAUGGAUGCAUGGAUCCUUUAUUCAUUCAUUCAUUCGUGAUCCUCAAAAAAGGUUUUGUUGUUUUGAAAAAGGCAUUUUUUGGGACGACAAAACCACACACACACUUUAAAACAAACACUUCAAUAUGGACAAUCAAUGGAGGAAAAAGAAUCCAAAAAUGUAUGUAUGUAUAGAAACAACUUUUAACAAUGGAUCUCUUGGUUCUU
rnacentral:misc_RNA from 1 species